rnacentral:lncRNA from 1 species
CUGGUGGAAAGACCAUCAAUGGUUCUCUGAACAAUUGGUUUUUAAUUAUUAGGUCUUUCCACUUUUCUGUGGAAAGACCUAUUGUUUUCUUCUGAUUUUUUUUUUCUUCCGCCUAAUUUUGUUCUUGCGAUAAACAUUUAUUCCGCAAUAUGUCGCUUUGAUAUUUGGUAUAUGAUAUCGAACAGUUUAUGCGCUUUUGAAAUUUACCCUGCGUAACCGAAUACUUUUCUUUGAAGGAGUUAUCUCCCCAAACACUGUUUUCCUUGUGCUCACAACUCCUUUGCAACCGUAAAAGAUAACGACAAAUUUAUUUUACAAAAUUGCUCGUUAUAUCCUUUGCAUGAUUUGUCCUAAUUUGACCGAAGCAAUAUGACCGCUCCAUAUGAGAGUUAUUUCCCCUUAUGCAUCUGAUAUAAGUGAUAUGCAUUUCUAUCUUAUAAACCAUAAGUGAUAGAGACCUAGGAUCUUUUGAUUUGAGGUCCUUGGUCCAAAAAAUGAAAAUUAGGUCAAGGUCAAAGGUCAAGGUCAUAUUCUAAUAUUUGAAUUUGGCUUAUUUUCACUUAUAUCCAAAGACCGUAUAAGAUAUCAACAAAUUAUUUU